GUAUGUAUGUAUGUAUGGAUGGAUGUAUGUAUGUAUGUAUACUUGCCUUCUCAAGCUUAAAGAGAACAUGAAAGAUAUAAACACACCAACAAAAUUACAGAAAAUAACAGCAGGAAUGCAGGAUAUCAGGUUAUGUUAAAUGCAUAAAGAAUGAGAUUGGUGGAGUACCUAAUAUGGAAAAUCUCUGUUGAUGAUGUUAUUAGAAUUAAAGAGGCCACAACAAGGACAGGAGGAGGUAUGUCUGGUGGAUAGAGCAAAAUGAUGACUUGUUAUCUGUUUUGUUUAAUGAGAUCAAAAGCUAGAAUGAUGUUAGCCAGCCAUCUGCCUCUUAAUGAUAUUCAUUGCAUUAGAUUACCAUAAUUGGUAGCAUUUGUUUUAUAGAAAUGUGCUUCUUCCUUCCCAUCAACUCCUCACACCAUAUUGUCAGUCAGUACUUGUAUUAUAUAUGAUCGCUGUCGUAGGUGGUCAAGAAUAAAAACCAACUCAAACUAUAUAGAUAAGGUGAGUCGGGAUCGUUUUCAUGGGGAUCUAGGGCGAUGGUUUUUCUUUUUUUUUUGAAGAAGAAGAAAUAAAAGAGAAUUGAUUAUAGAAGGAUUAAAGAAAGAAUAAAAUAGCAAGAAUUCAAUUGCAAAUGUAAAUUAAUUUGUGAAAGAAAAUAAGUCAGAGAGAUAACCCAGGAAUUCUGAAUUUACCGUGCAAAUUAGAUUUUUUUUUAAUGUUGCAAUAUUAAUUCCUGUGAUUAGGAUAUUAGUAUAGUUUAUCUCUAAGGGGUACGGACUGUAUCAGUAGAUCACGGCUUAUCCUAUUAGAGUAUAAACUAUUUAAAUUCAAUUACAAGAUAUAAGGUUUAAUUUAACAUACACGAUCUAUCUCUCUUAAGCACGUAUCGUAUCCAGGGAUCACGGCACGUCAGUAGAGGGUAUAGGUCAUGUAGGCUAGAUCAAUACUUUAGAAAAAUAAAAAGAUCUGAAAUAAAAGCACAAUUUUAUUACAUGAAAAUUAAAUACAAGAAAGAAAAUAAAAAUUCAUUUACAGGCUUCAUCGUAUUACUGGGUUGAAGGGAUUUAGUCACGCAUUAAGAUCUCCAGCUCCAUAUUCUCUCCUUUUCUAAAAUCUAAAAUAAUAAAUUAAAAAAAUUUCGUUUUGCUCUCUUUGCUCCUGUAUUUUCUCUGUUUUUGCUGCCUCUCGCUGCCUCUAUUUUUUGCUCUUGGAUACUUUUUCUUGUAUGCCUGGGCCCUUUUUUAUAGCCUUCACGGCCUCCAAAAUCCUAAACAUACUCAAUCUCUUGAUCCGUCAUGGAAUAGGACUUCUUGCUGUGUUAUUUCCGCAUAUCCCACUCUCUGUUUCGUAUUACAAGUCUUAGGCCGUUUUGUCGUGAAAACCGCAUGCUAGCUUCCGCUUGUGACCGGUCCCGCACAAACUCUCGCUCGUUUAAAAUCCACGUGCUCGCUUGCUGUGAGGACCCAUAUUCAAAUCCCAUGAAGCCCCAGUUUUCGCCUUCAAACACUCCCACGCCCACUUACCUGAACCACAUUAUUUCAUUUAAUCCCUUGGGUCCCACCACUUUUAACUCUCAUACCUUUCUCUUUCUUUUUUUUCUUUUAUUCAUUGAAUCCCUAUCAGGCAUCCUUGAAUUAUUGCGUGUCGUGCACCUAACAGGCCUGAAUUUAGACAUGAGCUUCAUCUGCAUGUGUUAAAGAGCCGUUGCUUGUUGAUUUGUGAUUAAUUCCUCAUAAUUGAUUAUUUUCUGAAAAAACAUAAAAAAAUAUCAAAUAUGAAAUAAUAUGGCUUAAAUAUCAGGAAUUUUAAUAUUUUUUAUGUUAUAUUUGAUGCAUUGAUCAAUAUACGUCUUCCCAACUCUGUUGCAUCUCCUAUUUUCAAACUUUGUUAAAUCUCCAUUCACUAAAUAAUGGAGUAUCCAUAAACCUAGGGCUGAAACCAGAUCGAAUACUCAUCGGAUACCAGCAUAUCCAUAUCCAUAUUUUUGUCUGAUGAAUACGGAUACGGAUAUUAUUCGGAUGUAAAAAUUCAUAUCUAUGUUUGUUUUAAACGGAUAUGGAUAUAACUCGGAUACUGAAA
rnacentral:lncRNA from 1 species